UGCCAAUGCCCGCAUGAGCUGCACUCUACA
rnacentral:piRNA from 1 species